GAUGAACGCUGGCGGCGUGCCUAAUACAUGCAAGUCGAACGCUGAGGGAGGAGCUUGCUCUUUCCGGCUGAGUUGCGAACGGGUGAGUAACGCGUAGGUAACCUGCCUUGUAGCGGGGGAUAACUAUUGGAAACGAUAGCUAAUACCGCAUAACAGUAGAUAUUGCAUGAUAUUUGCUUGAAAGGGGCAAUUGCUCCACUACCAGAUGGACCUGCGUUGUAUUAGCUAGUUGGUGAGGUAACGGCUCACCAAGGCGACGAUACAUAGCCGACCUGAGAGGGUGAACGGCCACACUGGGACUGAGACACGGCCCAGACUCCUACGGGAGGCAGCAGUAGGGAAUCUUCGGCAAUGGGCGGAAGUCUGACCGAGCAACGCCGCGUGAGUGAAGAAGGUUUUCGGAUCGUAAAGCUCUGUUUUAAGAGAAGAACGAGUUUGAGAGUGGAAAGUUCACACUGUGACGGUAUCUGACCAGAAAGGGACGGCUAACUACGUG
rnacentral:rRNA from 1 species